GGCCAGACUCCUACGGGAGGCAGCAGUCGGGAAUAUUGCGCAAUGGAGGAAACUCUGACGCAGUGACGCCGCGUAUAGGAAGAAGGUUUUCGGAUUGUAAACUAUUGUCGUGAGGGAAGAAAUUGACAGUACCUCAGGAGGAAGCUCCGGCUAACUAUGUGCCAGCAGCCGCGGUAAUACAUAGGGAGCAAGCGUUAUCCGGAUUUACUGGGUGUAAAGGGAGCGCAGGCGGCGCGCCAAGUCUGGUGUGAAACCCCGGGGCUCAACCCCGGGACUGCAUUGGAAACUGGCGGGUUGGAGUGUCGGAGGGGCAGGCGGAAUUCCUGGUGUAGCGGUGAAAUGCGUAGAUAUCAGGAGGAACACCGGUGGCGAAGGCGGCCUGCUGGACGACAACUGACGCUGAGGCUCGAAAGCGUGGGGAGCAAACAGGAUUAGAUACCCCGGUAGU
rnacentral:rRNA from 1 species